rnacentral:rRNA from 1 species
UACGGGGGGGGGCAAGCGUUGUUCGGAAUUACUGGGCGUAAAGGGCUCGUAGGCGGCCAACUAAGUCAAACGUGAAAUCCCUCGGCUUAACCGGGGAACUGCGUCUGAUACUGGAUGGCUUGAGUUUGGGAGAGGGAUGCGGAAUUCCAGGUGUAGCGGUGAAAUGCGUAGAUAUCUGGAGGAACACCGGUGGCGAAGGGCGGCAUCCUGGACCAACACUGACGCUGAGGAGCGAAAGCCAGGGGAGCAAAACGGGG